GACGAACGCUGGCGGCGUGCUUAACACAUGCAAGUCGAACGCUGAAGCUCAGCUUGCUGGGUGGAUGAGUGGCGAACGGGUGAGUAACACGUGAGUAACCUGCCCUCUUCUUUGGGAUAACGCCCGGAAACGGGUGCUAAUACUGGAUAUUCACUGAUUCUCGCCUGGGGGUUGGUGGAAAGGUUUUUUCUGGUGGGGGAUGGGCUCGCGGCCUAUCAGCUUGUUGGUGGGGUGAUGGCCUACCAAGGCUUUGACGGGUAGCCGGCCUGAGAGGGUGACCGGUCACAUUGGGACUGAGAUACGGCCCAGACUCCUACGGGAGGCAGCAGUGGGGAAUAUUGCACGAUGGGCGAAAGCCUGAUGCAGCGACGCCGCGUGAGGGAGGGAGGCCUGCGGGUUGGAAACCUCUUUCGCUCAUGGUCAAGCCGCAGCUUUGGGUUGUGGUGAGGGUAGUGGGUAAAGAAGCGCCGGCUAACUACGUG
rnacentral:rRNA from 1 species